GUAAAGGAAUGAGAGAAGUCAGAUGGCUGCUGCAAGGACCAGGAACAGUCAGUGCUCAGAGGAGGUGGAGAUUGCACAGGAGUAUUAAUUAGUCACUGCAGAGUGAACCAGGAAUGCAGCCCUGGAAUGCAAGGUAUAUCCUGAGCAGGAUGAGAGGUGAAUACUGUGGGCAUUAAAAUUUAGGGACUGCAGCUCCAGUGGUUGUUUCAGCAGCGCCAGGCCUCCUGGGGUCAUCGUGAAAUCUUAUAAACAUCAGGCUGUCGUUGGCUGCGCCAUGCAAUCGCCUCACUCUUCCCUGAUCUUUUACUGCCGUGCUAAAUCAUGUUUUGCAGGAUGCCUGAGAAAAGACCCAACAUAAACAGCAUUUAUCACCCUGUGCAUGUCGGCCCUUCCGAAAGUCUGCGGCUGGGUUACGUGCGCCCUCCUCGUAAAACUCCUGCAGGGACCUUACUGGUUUUGUAACUUUCUCCCAGCCUUGAGUAACUUUAUUCCAGUCCUGAAUAACUUCCUCUCAGUAUGGCUGGUGACUCAGGGGUUUCUUCUGAUCUCCUCAUGCUGGGGAAGGUGCUGGAGGAGGUCCUGGGGUCACACAUGGGGAGGAUGAAUAUAACCCUGUAUCUGGAAACCCUUGCAUCCCUGGAAUUUGUUGGCUCUUUGGGAGUGCUCACGUUGCCAUAACACAGGGUGAUGUGGGGUAUCUUGUGGCUGGAGGUGCCUGGCUUGCUCCUGUGGUGGUUCGUUCGCUUGCAGGAGCCAGUGCUCCCUCCUCCCUUUCCUGUGACUACAAAAAAUGCUCUGCCAGAUGCGAGUAAAAUCAAUUAUGGGAUAAAAAUUGCCCUUUUCAAAAGCUUCAUUUUGCGCUAUUAGCAGGCAAAAUCGGCUUUGAGACGGUGUGAACUGAGGAGGGGGGGAAAAAAAAGAAAAGCAGAAGAAAAGAUCAAUUAUGGGAUAAGAUCACAAUUUUCUUUGGGGCUGAGAUGUGUGUAAAUGUUUGCAUCUCUCAGUGUUACAGGUAGGCUGAGAUCAAAGAGGUUGUGCUGCUGUAGCGAUGAGAUCUUAUCGGUGCUGUUUUGUGCUGCCUGCCUCAGACACUGCCAAAGGAUGCUUAAACCCCCGACAGCUUCUGCUGCUCAGGGAUGCUUCAACCCCAACAGCACUGAGCCACCAAGAAAUGCUUAUACCCCCCCAGGUUGUUGAAGCUGCUGGGUAAUCCCAAAAUGCAGCUCUUCCAUCCUUCUGGAGCAGGGCGGGGAAGUGCUUCCCUGCUCUUCUCCCUACAGUA